rnacentral:rRNA from 1 species
CUGACGACCGGCAAACGGGUGCGGAACACGUACGCAACAUACCCUUUACAGGGGGAUAGCCCGAAGAAAUUCGGAUUAACACCCCAUAGUAUAAUGGAGAGGCAUCUUUCUGUUAUUAAAAAUUUAUUGGUAAAGGAUUGGCGUGCGUCCCAUUAGAUAGUUGGCGGGGUAACGGCCCACCAAGUCAGCGAUGGGUAGCUGGUGUGAGAGCACGACCAGCCACACGGGCACUGAGACACGGGCCCGACUCC